rnacentral:piRNA from 1 species
UCCGUUAGGGAAUAGUGGAUCAGUCU